GGUGGACGGGUGAGAACACGUGGGCAACCUACCUUAUAGUUUGGGAUAACUCCGGGAAACCGGGGCUAAUACCGAAUAAUCUGUUUCACCUCAUGGUGAAAUAUUGAAAGACGGUUUCGGCUGUCCCUAUAGGAUGGGCCCGCGGCGCAUUAGCUAGUUGGUGAGGUAACGGCUCACCAAGGCGACGAUGCGUAUCCGACCUGAGAGGGUGAUCGGCCACACUGGGACUGAGACAUGGUUCAGACUCCUAAUGGAGGAUGCACUAUGGAAUCUUUCCCUACUGGGCGAUAUUCUGAUGGUUCAUCUCCCCUCCUCGUGAUGAAUGAUUUCCUUUCCUCCUACUCUGUUGUUCCGCAAAUACCCGCUCUUUCAUACAUGCCCUGCCCUCUUCGCAUUCCCUUCUCUUAUAGAUCUCCCUCUUACUUACCCCUCCCUCCCUUCUCGACUUUCCUAAUUCUACUAUCCUUCCGUAUUUAACUUAUUCUCGUCUAUAUAAUCCCCAUCCUCACUAUCAUACACCUCCUCACCUCUUCUCUCUAGUCUCUCAAUACCUCUUUUAUUCCUCUUACCCUUCUCUCUCCUCCUUCCUCUUCUACUUGACACUCUACCAUAUAUAUCUUCUCUCCCCUUUACUCUUUUUUCUUACAUCUACCCUCCUUCAUCUCUUUCCUCUCCUCUUUUCCUCUUAUUUAACCUCUCCUUUAUUCUCCUUUCUUCCUCACUCUAUGCUUGUCUUUCCCCCUUUCCUAUUUUCGUUCUCCUUCUCCCUUAUUCCCCAUUUUCUC
rnacentral:rRNA from 1 species